UAUGUGCGCGGUCCCCGGGCACCGAGGAGCACCGCCGCCCCGCCUGUGCUGGGAAGCACCUUGCGUGCCCUGCCCGAGACCUCCAGCUGUAGUGGGCUCCUGUUAAACUUCUGUGAGAGCAAAACGCGUGAAUGGCUUUUUCUUCAAACAGGCUGCUGGGAGCAGUGGUGUAUCAGGGCCGUGGAUGCUGCAGGUGCCGGGAGUGAGGUCCUGGCCGGGGACCGGGGACACACACCGUUUUUACCUGCAAUCAAACCGCCGAAACCCCUGCUGUGAACCACCAUGCAGAAAGUCCAACUCAUCGGGAAGUGAACGGGCUUCAGAGGAGCACCACCGAAACUCAGACGAACAGAGAGAUGACAGGACAUUUCGGGAGCCACAUUUUGGCCACGAGAUGCAUGUAAACGCCAACACCAAAGGGCUUAUUCACUGGGAAGAAGUGAAUGCGACUUUCACUGUGACAAAAGCCGUCCCCUCCUGAGAGCAUCUCCUCCGAUCAGCAGUGAACGGGAUCCAAACCGGCACCGGAAACCGGUCGGGCCCACGGCAGGUGCACGCGGUGAGUGUCCACGCGAGUCUCUAACCUGGAUCUAUCUCAUCUUCUUGACUGUCCUUUUCCACAAUACGUGGCCUUCUAACCUUAGAAUGGUGCCCGGGCUGGGGGUUUCCACGGCAGAGCAGACUCCCGCCGGCCCUCACGCACCUCUGUUCAUGGUGUUAUUUACCUCUGGGCCUGGGGUCUGCUCGGAAAAUACCCGGUCGGCCAAAAAGUUUGCGUAGUUUCUUUCAUGCGACGGCUCUGGCUUGGUUGCCUUUAACUUCGUUGGAAACAAUCUUGUUAGGUUGUGUUAUGACAGCUGUCAUUUCAGCGUGCAUUAAAAAAAAAACUUAUCAAAACUGGGGAGUUGGCAGUCAUUUGUGCCCUGACUGGGAAUCAAACUUGCAACCUUGGUAUAUCGGGAUGACACUGUAACCCACUGAGCUGCCCAGCCAGGAUUAAAAUCUAUAUUUAAAUUUUUUUUCACGUUCCAGUUUUUUUUCAGUAAUGCAUAGAAAGAAACAUCUCACUCAAGUUUGUCGAGGUAUGAUUUACAUGCAGGAAAGUGUACCCUUUUCGAGGGUGCUGUUCUGCGGGUUCGACAAACAUACACACUCGUGUCAUAACCACCAUAACAAGGUACAGAUUCCCACACAUCCCCCGAGUCCCCCUGCGCCUCUCCGUGGAUGUCCCUCGCUGUCUCCAGUCACUGCCAACAACUGACCGUUCGGCCUCUUCCGUUCCGCCUCUCCCGGGAGGUCGUAUAAAUGCAACGUUCUGUGUGCAGCCCCUCGGGUGUGGCUUCCUCGACUGGAGUGCGGACAUGUGGCUGUGUGUCCUUUCCCACACGGUGCUGGGUGCUGUUCCACUGUCCGAAUGCACUGCCAUCCACUUGUCCACUCGCCUGCUGGAGGACAUUUGUUUUAUUUCCAGGUUUAGAUGGUUAUUAAUGAAGCUAUUAUAACCAUUCACAUACUUUUUUUGUGUGUGAACGUAAUUUUGUCUCUCUUGGAUAAAUAUUGGGUUGGCAGAAACGUUUCAUUUUUCCUGUAAAAUAAAAGACACAUUUUUCAGUUUCACCGAUAGUUUUAUGGAUUUGGAUAUUUUGAGUAUGUCUAUCUCCCCCAUGGUAGAACGUUGAUUGUUCUCAAUUAAUCUCUCAACUUCAUCGUUGUCGACUUCGACUGGUCUGUCCAACCCUGGAGCACCGUCCAGCGAGGAAUCUCCAGCAGGAAACUUCGCAAACCACUUUGACAUGUUCGAUCAGUCACAGCACCUUCUCCACACACUGCGCAAGUGUCUUUUUUUUUUUUGCAUUUCAGUUGCAUUUUUUUACUUUUCCUGAAACAAUAAAGCAUAAUAUGUUGAAACUGUUGCCUAUCUUCUUCCAUCUUCAAUAUUAAAAUUGCUACACAAAAAUUCAACAAUUUUGAUGUUUUUUUAAAAAUGCACGCUGACAUGACAGCUGUCACAACACAGUCUGACAAAAUUGCUCCGAGUGAAGUCAAAGACAGUUUGGCGCCACUAGAACCACCUUACAGGAAAACAAACAAAGAAACUUUUCGGCCAACCCAACAGUUUGUUGUCCUUGGAUAAGUACCCAGAAGUGGAAUUGCUGAAUUGUGUGUAAGCUCUGUUUUUAAAAAAAAAGAUUUUAUUUAUUUAUUUUCAGAGAGAGGAGAAGGGAGAGGAAAAGAAAGAGAGAGAAACAUCACUGUGUGGUUGCCUCUCACACGCCCCCCCCACGGGGGACCUGGCCUACAACCCAGGCACGUGCCCUACUGGGAAUUGAACUGGCGAGUCUUUGGUUAACAGGCCAGUACUCCAUCCACUGAGCCACACCAGCCAGGGCUAUAAGCUGUAUUUUAAUUUUUGGAGGAUUCUCCACACUCUUUCCGCAGUGGCCACAAGCCCACCCGUGGUGCACAGCCUUCCCUUCGUGCACACCCUUGGCCCCACCUCGUUUCUUACUGAAACAUACUAAUGAGUAUGGAGUGACAUGUCCCUAAUGACUGAUGAUAUCGAAUAUUUUUACAGAGGCUUGAUUACCAACCAUACAGCUGCUUUUGUGACAUUUAUUCCUACAUUAUAUUCUGUAUCUAUAUAUCUCUAUGUAAUUUUAGUUACUAGAACUUAUAACCAUUUGCCGCUGCUAUAAAAAUAUAUAAUUGAUUUUUAUCUAUUAACCUUGAAUCCUAUGUAUGACCUUGCAAAAUUCACUUCUUAGUUCAAACAGUUGUUUGAUUCCUGUGAUUUCUAUGUAGACUGUUGUCCUAUAAAACAAAGACACUUUUGCUUCCUUCCUGUUACACCUAUUUUUUUUCCUUGCCUCGUGUCAACGGUUACGAACGCUGCACAAGAAGCACUGAAGCUGGGCACCCUUGUCUCACCGCCAAUGUUGGGGGAAGAGUCGGUACUUUACCACUGAGCCUGUUAGCCAUGCAUUUUUAGAGAUGCUCUCUACCAAAUUGAGGAAUUCCUCUCAUCUUAAUUUUCUGAGAGUUUUUAUCGUGAAUGGGUGUUGAAUUUUAAAUGCUUCUCUUUUGCAUCUAUUGGGAUGAUCACAGAGUUUUCUUCCCUCUUUGGUCUAUUAAUAUGGUGAAUAACUGAUUGGUUUUCAAACGUUAAAUCCAUCUUGCAUUCUUAAAAUGAAUUCAACUUGAUUAACCCGACUUGCUGGAUUCAAUUUGCUAAUAUUUUACGAAAGAUACUUGUUUUUAUGUUCAUGUGGAUAUUGCUCUGUACGUUUUUGAUAAUACUCAUUUCAGUGUUGUAAUCAGUUUCAUGCCGACCUCAAAUGAGAGGAGACAUGUUCCCUCUUCUAUUCUCUGAACAAAAAUUGUGCAAGAUUAGUGUUAUUUCUUCCUUAAGUGGUUGAUAAAUUUGACCACUGAAACCAUCUGGGCCUGGAAUUAUCUUUGUGGGAAAUUUGUGGAAUAAAAUUCAAUUUCUUUAAUAGUAAAGCGCUAUUCAGAUUUUAAAAUUUCAGCUUGCUUCAGUUCUGAAGUUGAAUUUUUCUAAGAAUGUGUGCCUUUCGCCAACAAUGUCGGAUUGGUUGGUGUAAAAUGGUCCAUGCUACCUCCCUUUAUUCUGUUAAUAUCUGUGCUGAUACAUUCUUUUAAAAUGAAUCCUCUGUAUUUUCCUUGGUCCAUCUGGUUGGUAUACUGCGGGAUGUAUGUCAUCUUUACUGGGAUCAACGCUGUCUCUCUCUGUAUGGCUUCUCAAAGUGGAAUACUAAACACAGCUGAAGACAAGGGGCCCAUCAUUGAAAGCCACAGAAAUACUGUGGCAUGCAAAUUUUUAAGGAAAA